AUUGAACGCUGGCGGCAUGCCUAACACAUGCAAGUCGAACGGAGGGCUUCGGUCCUCAGUGGCGGACGGGUGAGUAACGCGUAGGGAUCUGCCCCGCAGUGGGGGACGAACCUGGGGAAACUCAGGCUAAUACCGCAUACGCUCCAUGGAGGAAAGCGGGGGACCUUCGGGCCUCGCGCUGCGGGAUGAACCUACGUCCGAUUAGCUAGUUGGUGGGGUAAAGGCCCACCAAGGCGACGAUCGGUAGCUGGUCUGAGAGGACGGCCAGCCACACUGGGACUGAGACACGGCCCAGACUCCUACGGGAGGCAGCAGUGGGGAAUAUUGGACAAUGGGCGCAAGCCUGAUCCAGCAAUGCCGCGUGGGUGAAGACGGCCUGCGGGUUGUAAAGCCUUAGGUCGGGGAAGGAACGGCCGGGCGCGAAUAGACGCGCGGCUCUGACGUUACCCGCAGAAUAAGCACCGGC
rnacentral:rRNA from 1 species